AACGAACGCUGGCGGCAUGCCUAACACAUGCAAGUCGAACGGGAUCCUGGUUUCGGCCAGGUGAGAGUGGCGGACGGGUGAGUAACGCGUGGGAACCUGCCCAGUGGUGGGGGAUAACUGCGGGAAACUGCAGCUAAUACCGCAUGAGCCCGGAAAGGGAAGAUUGAUCGCCAUUGGAGGGGCCCGCGUUCGAUUAGGUAGUUGGUGAGGUAACGGCUCACCAAGCCUUCGANCGAUAGCUGGUCUGAGAGGAUGAUCAGCCACACUGGGACUGAGAUACGGCCCAGACUCCUACGGGAGGCAGCGAGUGGGGAAUAUUGGACAAUGGGGGCAACCCUGAUCCAGCAAUGCCGCGUGAGUGAUGAAGGCCUUCGG
rnacentral:rRNA from 1 species